rnacentral:misc_RNA from 1 species
GUACAAUCAAAUAGAGAUACCAGGUCCACUUCUGGCUCUCUUCAUCUUAGGCAGCUUCAACUAAGAAAAUAAUACUGCCUAACCGCUGCUGGAGCCAUUCCAUGAGAAACAAACUAUGUUGUUCCUAUCCAGGAACCCAGGCACUGGAUGCAUAAAGAAUCCGUCCCUUCCAUCCCUGCAGCAUCCAUUGGCCAUCUUGAUCUACCACGAAAUCUUCAUGGUACCGUGUCUUCACCCUACACUUCAAUUUGUUCAGGAGUUGAGGGUCCAAAGGAAGUUGUUUCAACCCAGCUCUCGCGUUUCGAAUCUGCCAUUGCUUGUAUGUCUCGGGUCUCUCUACCCUUCCCGAGCCCUCACAUGCUAUGACAUUCAAAGCUUCCCGACCAUAGAACUCUUUCUCAAACUUCAACCUCAUUUGAUCUUCACGAGGCAUAUUAGUAUCAAACAUAUCAAACAAUGCAGAGAAGUGGAAAAGAGCCUCCC